UUUUGGUAAGGCCCAACACCAGUGACAAGGCCUUGAAUAAAGUAACCCAAGAUUGCUAACAUGGCCAACCUUCCAUUCUUAACUUCCUUGAGCUUCAACUCCUUCAUGGAUUUCUCAUCCUUACCGAACCCAAGAGGGUUGAAGAAAGGCCCGCCAGGGUACGCCGGGUCACCGGAGCCUCCGAGGCCUUUCUCCAGGCCCAAGAAGUACUGCUUGCCCAUGGACCCGGGCUUGGCCCAGUCUUGGAACCUCCUGUGCUCCGCAAAGCCCAUGAGCGCCAUCUCCAACACAAACAGCGUGUAUGAGUCUGCCCAGUAGCUGUAUGUUCCUGCAGGUGGAAUCACAC
rnacentral:lncRNA from 1 species